GAUGAACGCUGGCGGCGUGCCUAAUACAUGCAAGUCGAGCGAACGGACGAGAAGCUUGCUUCUCUGAUGUUAGCGGCGGACGGGUGAGUAACACGUGGAUAACCUACCUAUAAGACUGGGAUAACUUCGGGAAACCGUAGCUAAUACCGGAUAAUAUUUUGAACCGCAUGGUUCAAAAGUGAAAGACGGUCUUGCUGUCACUUAUAGAUGGAUCCGCGCUGCAUUAGCUAGUUGGUAAGGUAACGGCUUACCAAGGCAACGAUGCAUAGCCGACCUGAGAGGGUGAUCGGCCACACUGGAACUGAGACACGGUCCAGACUCCUACGGGAGGCAGCAGUAGGGAAUCUUCCGCAAUGGGCGAAAGCCUGACGGAGCAACGCCGCGUGAGUGAUGAAGGUCUUCGGAUCGUAAAACUCUGUUAUUAGGGAAGAACAUAUGUGUAAGUAACUGUGCACAUCUUGACGGUACCUAAUCAGAAAGCCACGGCUAACUACGUGCCAGCAGCCGCGGUAAUACGUAGGUGGCAAGCGUUAUCCGGAAUUAUUGGGCGUAAAGCGCGCGUAGGCGGUUUUUUAGUCUGAUGUGAAAGCCCACGGCUCAACCGUGGAGGGUCAUUGGAAACUGGAAAACUUGAGUGCAGAAGAGGAAAGUGGAAUUCCAUGUGUAGCGGUGAAAUGCGCAGAGAUAUGGAGGAACACCAGUGGCGAAGGCGACUUUCUGGUCUGUAACUGACGCUGAUGUGCGAAAGCGUGGGGAUCAAACAGGAUUAGAUACCCUGGUAGUCUACGCCGUAAACGAUGAGUGCUAAGUGUUAGGGGGUUUCCGCCCCUUAGUGCUGCAGCUAACGCAUUAAGCACUCCGCCUGGGGAGUACGACCGCAAGGUUGAAACUCAAAGGAAUUGACGGGGACCCGCACAAGCGGUGGAGCAUGUGGUUUAAUUCGAAGCAACGCGAAGAACCUUACCAAAUCUUGACAUCCUUUGACAACUCUAGAGAUAGAGCCUUCCCCUUCGGGGGACAAAGUGACAGGUGGUGCAUGGUUGUCGUCAGCUCGUGUCGUGAGAUGUUGGGUUAAGUCCCGCAACGAGCGCAACCCUUAAGCUUAGUUGCCAUCAUUAAGUUGGGCACUCUAAGUUGACUGCCGGUGACAAACCGGAGGAAGGUGGGGAUGACGUCAAAUCAUCAUGCCCCUUAUGAUUUGGGCUACACACGUGCUACAAUGGACAAUACAAAGGGCAGCGAAACCGCGAGGUCAAGCAAAUCCCAUAAAGUUGUUCUCAGUUCGGAUUGUAGUCUGCAACUCGGCUACAUGAAGCUGGAAUCGCUAGUAAUCGUAGAUCAGCAUGCUACGGUGAAUACGUUCCCGGGUCU
rnacentral:rRNA from 1 species